UGCAAGUCGAGGGGCAGCAUGAAAUUUAUUUAUUUAGAUUUUGAUGGCGACCGGCGGACGGGUGCGUAACACGUAUGUAACCUACCUUUUUCUAGAAAAUAGCCUGAGGAAACUCGGAUUAAUGUUCUAUAAUACAGUAUUUUCGCAUGAAAAUAUUAUUAAAGCAGAAAUGCGGAAAAAGAUGGGCAUGCGCCCGAUUAGUUAGUUGGUGGGGUAAAAGCCUACCAAGACGAUGAUCGGUAGGGGGCCUGAGAGGGUGAUCCCCCACACUGGUACUGAGAUACGGACCAGACUCCUACGGGAGGCAGCAGUGAGGAAUAUUGGUCAAUGGAGGAAACUCUGAACCAGCCACGCCGCGUGCAGGAAGAAUGCCUUAUGGGUUGUAAACUGCUUUUGUUUAGGAAUAAAAAUUUCUACGUGAUAGAAAUUCUGAAGGUACUAGACGAAUAAGUGUCGGCAAACUCCGUGCCAGCAGCCGCGGUAAUACGGAGGACACAAGCGUUAUCCGGAUUUAUUGGGUUUAAAGAGUGCGUAGGCGGUUUAUUAAGUCAGUAGUGAAAUGUUACAGCUUAACUGUUAAAAUGGCUAAUGAUACUGAUAGACUUGAGUUAGAUUGGAGUAACUGGAAUGUGUGGUGUAGCGGUGAAAUGCAUAGAGAUCACACAGAACACCGAUCGCGAAAGCAGGUUACUAAAUUUAUACUGACGCUGAGGCACGAAAGCGUGGGGAGCAAACAGGAUUAGAUACCCUGGUAGUCCACGCCGUAAACGAUGAUCACUAGUCGUUGGAUUUUAUUAUUCAGUGGCUAAGCGAAAGUGAUAAGUGAUCCACCUGGGGAGUACGACCGCAAGGUUGAAACUCAAAGGAAUUGACGGGGGCCCGCACAAGCGGUGGAGCAUGUGGUUUAAUUCGAUGAUACGCGAGGAACCUUACCAAGGUUUAAAUGUACUACGAAUAAGCUAGAAAUAGUUUAGUCUUCGGACGGAGUACAAGAUGCUGCAUGGUUGUCGUCAGCUCGUGCCGUGAGGUGUUGGGUUAAGUCCCUCAACGAGCGCAACCCUCAUUGUUAGUUGCCAACGAAUAAUGUCGGGGACUCUAGCAAGACUGCCGACGUAAGUCGAGAGGAAGGUGGGGACGACGUCAAAUCAUCACGGCUCUUAUAUCUUGGGCUACACACGUGCUACAAUGGUCGGUACAAAGGGUUGCUACUGAGCAAUCAGAAGCUAAUCUCUAAAAACCGAUCUCACUUCGGAUUGGAGUCUGCAACUCGAC
rnacentral:rRNA from 1 species